GAUGAACGCUGGCGGCGUGCCUAAUACAUGCAAGUCGAGCGAACCACUUCGGUGGAGAGCGGCGAACGGGUGAGUAACACGUAGGUCAUCUACCCAUUAGACGGGGAUAACGUUUGGAAACGAACGCUAAUACCGGAUAGGAAGAAAUUUUAAAGGUGCUUUCGGGCACCGCUAAUGGAUGAGCCUGCGGCGCAUUAGCUAGUUGGUAAGGUAAGAGCUUACCAAGGCGACGAUGCGUAGCCGACCUGAGAGGGUGAACGGCCACACUGGGACUGAGACACGGCCCAGACUCCUACGGGAGGCAGCAGUAGGGAAUCUUCGGCAAUGGACGAAAGUCUGACCGAGCAACGCCGCGUGAAUGAAGAAGGCCUUCGGGUUGUAAAAUUCUGUUAUAAGGGAAGAAAGACUAUAGUAGGAAAUGGCUAUAGAGUGACGGUACCUUAUGAGAAAGCCACGGCUAACUACGUGCCAGCCGCCGCCGUAACAC
rnacentral:rRNA from 1 species